CUCCAGGCCUCUGGAUUAGCCUCCCUCUCCCGGGUCAGAGGAGCUGGUGGGGCCCACAGGAACUCCCUUGGACUCUGGAUGCCAGACCAAGAAGCAGCUGGGCCCCACCUGUGACUCUGCACCCCGAAGGGCGCCCCUUUGAACCACUUCGGGGUGGUGGUGGACAUGGUGUUGCGCGGGGGACAUGGAGUCCCGCUGAACCCGGCCUCCAGCCUGCCCCCACCCCCGCACUCAACACCGCCCUGACAUCGCGUGCUGCCAAGGCAACCCGCAACCCGGGCGUUGUGAUUCAGCAAGCACAGACCGGCUUCGUGCCGCGUGGGACCUCCCCAGCGUGCUGCCUGCCCCCUGACGUUUUCAUUCAUUUUUAUAUUCCCAGUGCGGCCUCCCCAGAGACCCUUCUCGGGAUCCCGCAGACCUGAGGAUCCCUCCUGGGGUUUAAAGAGAGUGUUCCUGUCACUUGUGAUCCUCUUGGCUGCAGGAUGACUGAAGGAGGAGGAGAAGAUACAAACCAAGGUCCAUGGGUCAGAGUCCCGGCUGCAAGACAGGGAGCAGGCCAGCGAGAGUCAGCUCUGUACCGAGGCCUCUGCCCUGGACAGUCCAACCCCUCCCCGUGAUGGAAACUUCUUUGUCUGGCCAACUCAUUCAUUCUCUUUCACGGGUGCUACCACAACCUCUCCAUCCCCACUCUCAUUAUGCAGGAAAGGAAGCUAAGACACAGACAGAAUAAAUUGUCCUGGUCACAUCUAA